CCUACGGGAGGCUGCAGUAGGGAAUAUUGCUCAAUGGGGGAAACCCUGAAGCAGCAACGCCGCGUGGAGGAUGAAGGUUUUAGGAUUGUAAACUCCUUUUGUUAGAGAAGAUUAUGACGGUAUCUAACGAAUAAGAACCGGCUAACUCCGUGCCAGCAGCCGCGGUAAUACGGAGGGUGCAAGCGUUACUCGGAAUCACUGGGCGUAAAGAGUGCGUAGGCGGGGUAAUAAGUCAGAUGUGAAAUCCUGUAGCUUAACUACAGAACUGCAUUUGAAACUGUUACUCUGGAGUGUGGGAGAGGUAGGUGGAAUUCUUGGUGUAGGGGUAAAAUCCGUAGAGAUCAAGAGGAAUACUCAUUGCGAAGGCAGCAUACCGGCGCUCAACUGACGCUCAUGCACGAAAGCGUGGGUAUCGAACAGGAUUAGAUACCCGAGUAGUC
rnacentral:rRNA from 1 species